UGAUGACGAGACGCUAAGGCGUUGAAGCAGUGUAUGUCAGACUUCCAAGAAAAGCUCGCAAUGUCACAAAUAAAAAGUGCCUGUACCAUAACCGACACAGGUGGGUAGGUAGAGUAUACUAAGGGGCGCGAGAUAACUCUCUCUAAGGAACUCGGCAAAAUGACUCCGUAACUUCGGGAGAAGGAGUGCCUUAUUUAUAAGGUUGCAAUAACAAGAUCCAAGCAACUGUUUAUCAAAAACACAGGUCUCCGCUAAGUCGUAAGACGAUGUAUGGGGGCUGACGCCUGCCCAGUGCCAGAAGGUUAAAGAAGUUGGUUAGUGUAUGCGAAGCUGAUGACUGAAGCCCUGGUGAACGGCGGCCGUAACAAUAACGGUCCUAAGGUAGCGAAAUUCCUUGUCGGGUAAGUUCCGACCCGCACGAAAGGCGUAAUGAUUUGGAUACUGUCUCGGAGAGAGGCUCGGUGAAAUAGACUUGUCUGUGAAGAUGCGGACUACCUGCACCAGGACAGAAAGACCCUAUGAAGCUUUACUGUAACUUGAAAUUGGAAUUGGACUUUGCUUGCGCAGUAUAGGUGGGAAGCGUUGAAAAUAUUCUUGCGGGAGUAUUGGAGCUAUCAGUGAGAUACCACUCUUGUAAUGUUAGAUUUCUAACUUUGAACCAUAAUCUGGUCAAAGAACAGUUUCAGGUGGGCAGUUUGACUGGGGCGGUCGCCUCCCAAAUGGUAACGGAGGCGUACAAAGGUUUCCUCUGAACGGAUAGAAAUCGUAUCUAGAGUGUAAAGGCAUAAGGAAGCUUGACUGUGAGACCUACAAGUCGAGCAGGGACGAAAGUCGGUCUUAGUGAUCUGACGGUACUGAGUGGAAAGGCCGUCACUCAACGGAUAAAAGUUACUCUAAGGAUAACAGGCUGAUCUCCCCCAAGAGUUCACAUCGACGGGGAGGUUUGGCACCUCGAUGUCGGCUCAUCGCAUCCUGGGGCGGUAGUACGUCCCAAGGGUUGGGCUGUUCGCCCAUGAAAGCGGUACGCGAGCUGGGUUCAGAACGUCGUGAGACAGUUCGGUCCAUAUCCGGUGUAGGCGCUAGAAUAUUGAGAGGAGCCUUCUUUAGUACGAGAGGACCGAGAAGGACACACCGCUGGUGUACCAGUUAUCGUGCCAACGGUAAACGCUGGGUAGCUAUGUGUGGAGUGGAUAACCGCUGAAAGCAUCUAAGUGGGAAGCCCACCUCGAGAUGAGUAUUCCC
rnacentral:rRNA from 1 species